rnacentral:rRNA from 1 species
AUGGCCGGUUGCGAGGUGCUGCAUGGUUGUCGUCAGCUCGUGCCGUGAGGUGUCGGGUUAAGUCCCAUAACGAGCGCAACCCCUACUGCUAGUUGCCAGCGGGUCAUGCCGGGGACUCUAGCGGAACUGCCAGCGUAAGCUGCGAGGAAGGUGGGGAUGACGUCAAAUCAGCACGGCCCUUACGUCCAGGGCUACACACGUGUUACAAUGGCCAGUACAGAGGGCAGCCACCCCGCGAGGGGGCGCUAAUCCUAAAAGCUGGUCCCAGUUCGGAUCGGAGUCUGCAACCCGACUCCGUGAAGCUGGAUUCGCUAGUAAUCGCGCAUCAGCCACGGCGCGGUGAAUACGUUCCCGGGCCUU